AUGGGAUUUUUGCUCCUGUCCAUUUUCGCUGUAGCAGCUUUGGAAGGUGUCCGGUCCCAGGUGCAGCUGGUGGAGUCUGGAGGGGGUGUGAAAAAGCCCGGAGACUCUCUCCGCCUCUCGUGCAAAGCCUCAGGGUUCACCUUCAGCAGUGCCUACAUGAGCUGGGUCCGCCAGGCUCCUGGCAAGGGGCUAGAAUGGGUCGCUUAUAUAAGCAGGAGUGGGAGUACAUUCUACCUUGAUUCAGUGAAAGGCCGAUUCACCAUCUCCAGGGAUAAUCCCAAGAGUGAGCUGUAUCUGCAACUGACCGGCCUGAAGCCCGAGGACACCGCCCGCUAUUACUGUGCGAGUGACACAGUGAAACGAAACCGGUUUGUGAUCAUACAAAAACCCAGGCUGCGGAAUCGCCCUUCUCCCGGCAGCCGCUCGGGACAGCACUUCCACAAACAAUCCAGGAGUGGGCACAGGAAUUGCUUCUACAACCAGAGUGAAAAACAAAUCAGUCCUCAGGUUUCAGAGCUCAGUCUCCAGGGGUGA